CCCGAAGAUAAGUGAGCUACUUUUAUUCUGUUAAGAAUAAAACCAAAAAUGUAGCAAAAAUUUUUUGAGAAAUAAAAGUAGAGSUUAAAUGCCUACGCACUUAUUGAUAUCUGGUUACUUUCAAAAUAUUUAAAUAUAACUUUAUUUAAGUACAUUAUCUUUAGGACAAGCUACAGAUAAAAUUAGAGAUAUUUAAUUUUUAAAAAUUAAAUUUUCUUAGGCUUAACAAUAGCCAAAUAAUAUUCUGUAACAAGCUGAAUAUAUAAUUUUUAUAAAUUAUAUCAAAAAUAUUCUCACAUAGAAAGUGAUUUUGAAAAACUUUUUCAUAAAACAUAAUGAUAAUAUUAGUAUGACAUACAUUUUAAAAAUAAAUUUAUUUUUCAAAAUAUUUUAAGGAACUCGGCAAAUGGGGCCACGACUGUUUAACAAAGACAUAGCUUCUAGAAAUUAUUAGAAGUGAUACCUGCCCAGUGUUAUAUAAACGGCCGCGAAAGUGCUAAGGUAGCAAAAUAAUUUGUCUUUUUAUUGAAGACCAGUAUGAAUGGAUGAACGAAGCCCAACUGUCUCCCUAUAUUUAAACAAAACUUUAUGAAUAAGUGAAAAAUCUUAUCCUUUUAUGAAGGACGAGAAGACCCUAUAGAGUUUAAGUAAAAACUUUUACUAAAAAUUAAAAGUAUUACUUUUGUUGGGGCAACAUAAGAACCACAAAAAUCUUAUAAAUAUAUAACCUCAAAGAGAAUACAAAAAACUACCUUAGGGAUAACAGCGUAAUCUUACCAGAGAGAUCUAAUCGAAGGUGAGGUUUGCGACCUCGAUGUUGGACUAAGAAUACCCUUUUAUGUAGAAGUAAAAGAAAGUAAGCCUGUUCGGCUUUUAAAAUCUUACAUGAUCUGAGUUCAGGUCGGCGCAAGCUAGUCCGGUUUCUAUCCUCAUAAAAAUAUAACUUAUCUUUAUAUUACGAAAGGAACCAAAGAU
rnacentral:rRNA from 1 species